rnacentral:pre_miRNA from 1 species
GAUGUACUCCCUCCGUUCCAAAUUACUCGUCACAGAAAUGGAUGUAUCUAGAACUAAAAUAUAUCUAGAUACAUUCAUACUUGCGACAAGUAAUUUGGAACGGAGUGAGUAGUAA